AACCGCAAAGUCUAGUGGUAUGAUUCUCGCUUAGGGUUCACUAAGCACACUUGCGAGAGGCCCCGCGUUCGAAUCGCGGUAAGACCC